CCCUUAGAUGUUCUGGGCCGCACGCGCGCUACACUGACGAAUUCAACGAGAUUAUAACCUUUGCUGGGAGGCAUGGGUAAUCUUGUGAACGUUCGUCGUGAUGGGGAUAGAUUAUUGCAAUUGUUAAUCUUCAACGAGGAAUUCCUAGUAAACGCAAGUCAUCAGCUUGCAUUGAUUACGUCCCUGCCCUUUGUACACACCGCCCGUCGCACCUACCGAUUGAAUGGUCCGGUGAAUUCUUCGGACUGCGGCUUUGACUCGAUUUCGGUCGAGGCGUUGCUGCGGGAAGUUGAUUAAACCUUACCAUUUAGAGGAAGGUGAAGUCGUAACA
rnacentral:rRNA from 1 species